rnacentral:rRNA from 1 species
UACGGGGGGGGCAAGCGUUGUUCGGAAUUACUGGGCGUAAAGGGCUCGUAGGCGGCCAACUAAGUCAGACGUGAAAUCCCUCGGCUUAACCGGGGAACUGCGUCUGAUACUGGAUGGCUUGAGUUUGGGAGAGGGAUGCGGAAUUCCAGGUGUAGCGGUGAAAUGCGUAGAUAUCUGGAGGAACACCGGUGGCGAAGGCGGCAUCCUGGACCGGCAUUGACGCUGAGGCGCGAAAGCCAGGGGAGCAAAGCGGG